AUUAAAGAGGCUGUACUUGGUCUGGUGGAGAGGAGUGACACUCUGGAGUGGUGUAGGAAGUUGCAGGCUGGGGGGUUAAGUUGGCCGCACGGCUCAGAGCACCAAGAUGAAUUCAUAUCCGUAUUCACCUACCACGCCAUCACUGGACACAGUCCAGCUUUCGAGGCUUGUUUUAAGUUGCCUGCGCCUUUUUACUCGGACACAGGCAGCUAAAGCAAGUCUGGGACGCCAGAGACACACCUACAAAACCCAGCCGAGAGGAACCACCGUCGCGCCAAGAAUGGAAAAUCCAGGGGUUUUUUGAAGACCAGGAAGAAGGAACAUGGGGAAAUAUAUUGUACUUAUAAUGAAAUCUGCUUUUACCAGUUAUGCAAAAGCUUAUGCAAGCUUUUGACCCCUGGGCCAAGAGGAAGAACCUAACAAAUGACUUAUGUAGUCUGACACAAUCUGCUUUUUACAAUGUCUGAUUGUGUGAAAUGGAAAUUAUACGUAAAAACUUGCAUGCUAUAACUUCUAUGUAGUUAGAAAAAAACAACUAAAUAAGUUUAGUAAGUUUAGUUUAAUAACUUAAACUCACUCUCAUAUAGCCUACUGCUUUUGUUGUCUACACUUGUGUGUGUGUGUGUGUGUGUGUGUGUGUGUGUGUGUGUGUGUGUGUGUGUGUGUGUGUGUGUGUGUGUGUGUGUGUGUGUGUGUGUGUGUGUGUGUGUGUGUGUGUGUGUGUGUGUGUGUGUUGUUUGAGCUCAGUCAGGUGACAUUCAGAUGAUGAAUGAUUAGCAGGCCGUUCACUUUCAGUUCAGUCAAUACAGAGAGCCGGACAAGUAAAGUAUGAUUUGCAUUUAAGGGCGAGGUUAAGAUUUUUCUGUCGGGUUUAAGUAUUGUUGUUAAGGAUUAGCCACAUUUCUGGUUACAAACGAUUGAACGAUUUGAUGAUCUUACCUAGGGAAAGAUUGGAAGGUGAAUUGUGUUGAGAUUGCACAGGGCUGCCUAAAACCAUGACUUUUAUUUGAGAACUGAUCACACACACACGAUGCCGAACGACACAAGAGCACUGCAGGGACGCCCAGUAUGUAGGCAUUUAUUAUCUCUUUAGGUCAUUCAUAAAUUAUUUUAUUGGCCUUUUUUUUUAUAUAGAAUAGAUCAUAUUCAGUGGACACAUAUAGACCAGGAGUGAAGUGCGAAGUACAACAAAUGUCCUGGAAUCAAACGGUAACAUGGUGCACAUCUCAACACGCCGAUCCGCCAGGACGGACGGCCCCCCUCUUCCCUACGGACGCUCAUGAACUGAACACAUUUCCUUUAUGAGUUGCUUUAAUCCCUCUGUGGCCUCAGAGCAGUGGUGUUUGCCUUGACUGCAGUUUUUUUGUUGUUGUAUUUUUCAAAAUAAAAGGCUAUAACAUGA